CGGACCGGCGCACGGGUGAGUAACGCGUAUGCAACUUACCUAUCAGAGGGGGAUAACCCGGCGAAAGUCGGACUAAUACCGCAUGAAGCAGGGGUCCCGCAUGGGGAUAUUUGCUAAAGAUUCAUCGCUGAUAGAUAGGCAUGCGUUCCAUUAGGCGGUUGGCGGGGUAACGGCCCACCAAACCGACGAUGGAUAGGGGUUCUGAGAGGAAGGUCCCCCACAUUGGUACUGAGACACGGACCAA
rnacentral:rRNA from 1 species